rnacentral:rRNA from 1 species
CCUACGGGAGGCAGCAGUGGGGGAUAUUGCACAAUGGGGGGAACCCUGAUGCAGCGACGCCGCGUGGGUGAAGGAGUGCUUCGGCAUGUAAAGCCCUAUCGGCAGGGAAGAAGCAAGACGGUACCUGACUAAGAAGCCCCGGCUAACUACGUGCCAGCAGCCGCGGUAAUACGGAGGAUGCGAGCGUUAUCCGGAUUCAUUGGGUUUAAGGGGUGCGCAGGCGGGCCUUUAAGCCGGCGGUGAAAUCGCGGGGCUCAACCCCGCCGAGCCGUCGGAACUGGGGGCCUUGAGUGCGGCGGAGGCAUGCGGAAUGCGCGGUGUAGCGGUGAAAUGCUUAGAUAUCACGAAGAACUCCGAUUGCGAAGGCAGCUUACUAAACUGCCACUGACAUUGAUGCUCGAAAGUGUGGGUAUCAAACAGGAUUAGAUACCCUGGUAGUC